rnacentral:lncRNA from 1 species
AUAACUUGUUCUUAAAGGAUUAGGAAGAGUGAUUACUAUAAAUUUUGAAUAAUUCUAGAUCACUCUCGAUAUCAAAAGAAAAGAAUGAUUAAAGAGGAAUGCAUCUUUUGAGGGGGAGCUUUAGAUAUUCAGUAUCUUAUCCUAAAGAUACUUUAAUUUGAUGCAUACUUUGAAUUUUAUGGAUUGAUUUUGAUGAACCUCCUUAUAUUGCAAGACAUGCUUUAAUUUCCUUGAGAUGAGUUCUAUAAAGGUUGUCUUAUCUCAAACCUUGAGUCUUAUGAAAAUAAGCUGAAAUAUAUUUUUGAGAUUGACAAUCUUAUUGAACAUUAUCUUAGGAUUCUAAACUCUUAAAUGGAAUGAUCAAUUGAGGGGGAGAAAGAAAAUUUCAGAAGGAGAGGUCUUAUGGAACUUAAUCGCAUAAAUCUAUAACUAAAGGAGAGAGAAAGAACACUAAAUGAAAAGUGAUUCUAAUACUCUCCAAUAUGUAUCAUCUGAAAUUUAAAUCUGAAAAUCUUUAUGAUACACCUUGAGGCGUGUUAUUUGGUUAGUAUAUCUUAUGCAUCACUCAUGAACCAAAUUA